GGGGGUGUAGUUAAUAAUAACAUUUAAUUUGCACUUAAAAGGUACUUUGUAGUCACCCUCA
rnacentral:tRNA from 1 species